UGGGGAAUAUUGGACAAUGGGCGCAAGCCUGAUCCAGCCAUGCCGCGUGAGUGAUGAAGGCCCUAGGGUUGUAAAGCUCUUUCACCGGUGAAGAUAAUGACGGUAACCGGAGAAGAAGCCCCGGCUAACUUCGUGCCAGCAGCCGCGGUAAUACGAAGGGGGCUAGCGUUGUUCGGAUUUACUGGGCGUAAAGCGCACGUAGGCGGACUUUUAAGUCAGGGGUGAAAUCCCGGGGCUCAACCCCGGAACUGCCUUUGAUACUGGAAGUCUUGGGUAUGGUAGAGGUGAGUGGAAUUCCGGGUGUAGAGGUGAAAUUCGUAGAUAUUCGGAGGAACACCAGUGGCGAAGGCGGCUCACUGGACCAUUACUGACGCUGAGGUGCGAAAGCGUGGGGAGCAAACAGG
rnacentral:rRNA from 1 species